AUUGAACGCUGGCGGCAGGCCUAACACAUGCAAGUCGAACGGCGCGGCGGACGGAUGAGUAAUGCCUAGUAAUCUGCCUGCUAGUGGGGGAUACCGUCCGGCAACGGCCGCUAAUACCGCAUACUUUCCGUUCUGCCUCCGUCGGUUUAGCUAGUUGGUGGGGUAAUGGCCUACCAAGGCGACGAUCCGUAACUGGUCUGCGAGGAUGAUCAGUCAAACUGGAACUGAGACACGGGCCAGAGUCCUACGGGAGGCAACAGUGGGGAAUAUUGGACAAUGGGCGAAAGCCUGAUCCAGCCAUGCCGCGUGUGGGAAGAAGGGCUUCGGAUUGUAAAGCACUUUAAGUUGGGAGGCGUUACCAACAGAAUAAGCACCGGCUAACUUCGUGCCAGCAGCCGCGGUAAUAC
rnacentral:rRNA from 1 species